rnacentral:rRNA from 1 species
GACGAAGGGGGCUAGCGUUGUUCGGAAUUACUGGGCGUAAAGCGAGUGUAGGUGGUUGUCCAAGUUGGAUGUGAAAGCCUUGAGCUCAACUCAAGAAAUGCAUUCAGGACUGGGUGACUAGAGGACCGGAGAGGAUAGUGGAAUUCCCAGUGUAGUGGUGAAAUACGUAGAGAUUGGGAAGAACACCAGUGGCGAAGGCGGCUAUCUGGACGGUUUCUGACACUAAGACUCGAAAGCGUGGGGAGCAAACAGG